rnacentral:rRNA from 1 species
CAGCCGCCCGGUAAUACGAAGGGUGCAAGCGUUAAUCGGAAUUACUGGGCGUAAAGCGUGCGUAGGCGGUUUGUCAAGUCUGCUGUGAAAUCCCCGGGCUCAACCUGGGAAUGGCAGUGGAUACUGGCAAGCUAGAGUGUGUCAGAGGAUGGUGGAAUUCCCGGUGGAGCGGUGGAAUGCGUUGAGAUCGGAAAGAACACCAACGGCGAAAGCACUCUGCUGGGCCGACACUGACACUGAGAGACGAAAGCUAGGGGAGCAAAUGGGAUUAGAUACCCGUGUAGUCCCUGUCUCUUAUACA